rnacentral:rRNA from 1 species
CCUACGGGAGGCAGCAGUAGGGAAUUUUCCGCAAUGGGCGAAAGCCUGACGGAGCAAUACCGCGUGAGGGAUGACUGCCUAUGGGUUGUAAACCUCUUUUUUCAGGGAGGAAUAAAUUGACGUGUACCUGAAGAAUAAGCAUCGGCUAACUCCGUG